rfam:Enterococcus columbae DSM 7374 = ATCC 51263 genomic scaffold acyDG-supercont2.6, whole genome shotgun sequence.
AUAGCAGUAAUGCCUAGGGGGAGAAAGCGGCGUAGCAAAGUCAGCAAGCCUACGAACAGAAACUGGAUACAAGGCUAAAUGGUGGAUGAGAUUGCCAAACAAAUCGAAGUCCAAAAGGUAAACGUAAAACCAAGACAGUAAAUCCAGAGGUUGUGUGACGAAAGAAUUGCAUC